rnacentral:rRNA from 1 species
GAUGAACGCUGGCGGCGUGCCUAAUACAUGCAAGUCGAACGAACAGGCCAUGAUCUUGCGCCUUUCACGUUAGCGGCGGACGUGUGAGUAACACGUGUAUCACCUACCUAUCAUACUGGUAUAACUUCGGGAAACCGGAUCUAAUCCCAUAGAAUAUUUUGAACCGCAGUGUUCGAUAGUAAAAUAUGGCUUUUCUGUCACUUAUAGCUGGACCUGCGCUGUAUUAGAUAGUUGGUAAGGUAACGGCUUACCAAGGCAACGAUGCGUAGACGACCUGAGAGGGUGAUAGGCAACAUUGGAAGUGAGACACGGACAAGACUACUAAGGGAGGCAGCAGUAGGGAAUCUUACGCAACGGGCGAAAGCAUGACGGAGCAACGCGGAGUGAGUGAUGAAGGUCUUGGGAUCGUAAAAACCUGUUAUGAGGGAAGAACAAAUGUGUAAGUAAACGUGGACUUAUUGACGGUACCUAAUAAGAAAGCAACGGCUAACUACGUG